CUUUCGCCUGUUUUACAAAAACAUUUCUUUUGGUUUUUAUUAAAAGUAAAACCUGCCCACUGAGUUAUUUAAGGGCCGCGGUAUUUUGACCGUGCUAAGGUAGCAUAAUCAUUAGUCUCUUAAUUAGGGAAUUGUAUGAAUGGUUAAACCGUUAUUUUCUUUAUUGUUUUAAAUAGGCUUAAUUUUUAGUUAGGGUAAAAAUACCCUAAGGAUUCAAAAAGACGAUAAGACCCUUUAGAGCUUGAUGCUAAUUACGGAGUACUUUUAUGGGGGAUGAAAGUGCUCUUUUGUGAGUGUUUAGUUGGGGCAAUUAAAGAAUAAAAUAAACUUCUUUAGAAUUUGUAAAUCUUAAGAUUUAAAAUUUAAAAAGUUACCUAAGGGAUAACAGCGUUAUAAUAAUUGAGAGUUCUUAUCGACGUUAUUGUUUGCGACCUCGAUGUUGAAUUAAAGGGGGUGCUUAGGGCAGUUUUUAAGUGUCCUAGUCUGUUCGACUAUUAAAAUUUUACAUGAUUUGAGUCCAAACCGGCGAUUU
rnacentral:rRNA from 1 species